rnacentral:rRNA from 1 species
AUUGAACGCUGGCGGCAGGCUUAACACAUGCAAGUCGAGCGGGGGAAGGUAGCUUGCUACCGGACCUAGCGGCGGACGGGUGAGUAAUGCUUAGGAAUCUGCCUAUUAGUGGGGGACAACAUCUCGAAAGGGAUGCUAAUACCGCAUACGUCCUACGGGAGAAAGCAGGGGAUCUUCGGACCUUGCGCUAAUAGAUGAGCCUAAGUCGGAUUAGAUAGUUGGUGGGGUAAAGGCCUACCAAGGCGACGAUCUGUAGCGGGUCUGAGAGGAUGAUCCGCCACACUGGGACUGAGACACGGCCCAGACUCCUACGGGAGGCAGCAGUGGGGAAUAUUGGACAAUGGGGGGAACCCUGAUCCAGCCAUGCCGCGUGUGUGAAGAAGGCCUUAUGGUUGUAAAGCACUUUAAGCGAGGAGGAGGCUACUUUAGUUAAUACCUAGAGACAGUGGACGUUACUCGCAGAAUAAGCACCGGCUAACUCUGUGCCAGCCGCCGCGGUAA